rnacentral:lncRNA from 1 species
UGAACUUGUCUCUGUUUCUCAUCAUUAAGCACUAUGUUGUAAACACUGUCAAGGGAAGGAAAUGGCUGCAUCAUCAACAAAUUACUCCUAACCCCCAGGUAUGUUUCAUUUAACCCCAUAAGAAAUUGGAAUACCUUGUUUUCAUCAUCUUCUUCAAUUAUUCCAUUUUUGGCAGCACACACACAUCUCUGCCCAUGAUUUGUGCACAUUGUGCCCAAUUCAUCCCACAAGCCUUUGAGCUUGUUAAAGUAUGAGGAUANNNNNNNNNNNNNNNNNNNNNNNNNNUUCAUCCCACAAGCCUUUGAGCUUGUUGAAGUAUGAGGCUAUGUCUAAGGAGCCUUGAGAUGUGUGGGAAAGUUCCCUUUUUAAUUCAAAAAUAUUGGUCCUGUUAGGGGUACCAUAUCUUUUCUCAAUUUGGGACCAUAUACUCUGUGCAGUAUCGGAAUACUGCACACUAUCAGCAAUUUGAGGAGACAGAGAGGAGGUCAACCAGGAAAUGACCAUGUUAUUACAUCUGUCCCACAGUCUCAGUUGAGCCACAUUAGUGGCAGGAUGAGGACACGAACCGUGAACAAAACCGAUUUUAUUUUUAGCGGAUAACCACUACCCGAGAAGGGAGUUGGAACAAGAGAAACCCAGGGACAUCAGAAGAAUAUACAAAAAGGGGGCUAGAAGAGUCUACAGAGGAGGAGGUACCAACAUUUGUGUUAGAAGCCAUAAUCAAUAAACCGGCUUAAAAACAUAGUUUUUCAACAAACAGAGUAUAACCAAAUCAGGUAUUCACACACAACACCAGAUACUCAC